UUUUUGAGAAUCAUGAUGAGGCAUUAAAGAAGAGGAGGAGUGUCUCAAGGGAGGUGAGCUGGAGGUGAUGCAAGGAUGUCUGAUCUGAAAGCAUGUUGUGGUCCGCUACACACAAGAGCAAAAGAAGAGCAGGAAGGAGCUCAGUGCCAAGACCAUAGCCACAGGAAGAAAACCAGCUCUUAGGGCUGCAGCUCUAAAGACAGGCCAGGUCAUUACAGGAACGUCUGCUCCCUUAGCCUUGCCAGACAGAGGAGGGUUAAGAAAGGAACUGCUGACCCUGAUAUGCAAACUGCCACGAGUGCUUCCUGCCUUUCUAUCAGCAUCAGAUGGCUAGCGAUGGAUGGCUGUGGAGAGAGGAUGCCAGACAGAUAUUUGAGCAGAACAAAGAGAGCCAACAGGAUGAAGGCAUUCCCUGGCUGGUUGGACAAGCAACUGAAGAACAGGAACAGAAGUGAAUGAAAAGAGAAGAUGCUGUGUUUGUGUUUUCUCUUGGUUAGAAUGCUGUGAGUCAGGACCUUAGCUGCUGGGUGUCCUGGGACUGCCUUCGAUGAAGAACCUGAGGCUCACCUUGCUUAAGUGACUUGAGCAGCUUCACGCAUCUUUCUGACAUUCCAGCAAUACCGGAGCAUUGACAGUUGAUAAUAGCUCUAUGUGCUACCUCUCCAAGAAACAAAUUUGCAUUUUAACCUGCCCCUUCAAUGGCUGAACUUCAAAGGGUCACUGAUGAAUGCCACAGCAGAGAAAACUGCAAAUUGGAACAGCAGAGCUGUGCCUCUGGCCAUUUCCUGGAACUACAGAGGAGCAACUUGCCCCGGUUUCCAGUGGGUGAUGUUCCUCUUCUGCCACAGUCCCUGGCGAUGUUGAUGUGAUUGCCAUCAGAGCUCAGAAGCACAGAGCAGAAUCAUCCCCUGGAGGAGGAUUCCCUUCAGUGUAAGAAGUUCUUACAGAAUUAAUCCUCAAAGACUGUGGGUGGACUCUGCCAGGUUUUUCCCCGGGUGUACCAGAAGAGAGGAAGAGCCCUCAAAUACAGGAAAGUGCUCUUUUCAGUGACAGUAGUUCUUUUGGGCCCUGUGGCUAAGUGUGCUCCCACCCCAGCAGUAAGAUCACAGCUAAUCCUGAGAGGCAAGAGCUCACACCAGGCUACUGAAAGAAAAAGUGUCCUUUGUGGAUUGCAAGAGGAACUGGGACACACUGCUGGAAAUGAAGUGGCAGGUCAUAAACUAUCAUAAACUCAGGAGGAGAGGUGUUCCUUUUUGAGACACUCAUCACAACUAGAGAGAAUGCAGCUAAGAAAAUGCAGUCUUUAGGGGGACCUGGACUGUUGAAGUAUUUGAGCUAUUCGGAGGAAAUAGAAACUUGGAAGAGAUCUUUGUUCCACUAUUAUUUGGCAGCCCCUUACCCGCAGCUGCCAUUACUCCAGAUUCUCUCUGAUGAUCCUGCAUCAGGAGAAUGAGUUGACUGGGCACCACUGGGAAAUGUGGGCAGCUCCAGGCUGAACUAGAGAAGGGGCAUGUCAAAGGUCACUUAUUUGUGGCUUGACCCUUUGGAGGCCAGAUGUAAGAAUCAAUUUCUCACAGGUCCCAUGCUAACGCUUUUCAUAUUUAUUUCCAUCUGAGACUCACUUAGGCUAGGCAAAUAUCCCAUGGGUCUGUACCUCUCCAGUGCUUUCUUGCUCAUGUAAAAUUAGCUCAUUGGAAUGAAUAAAGAGAAUGGUAUUACUUUGGCUCGAACACG
rnacentral:lncRNA from 1 species